rnacentral:rRNA from 1 species
AUACGGAGGAUGCGAGCGUUAUCCGGAUUUAUUGGGUUUAAAGGGUGCGUAGGUGGUAGAUUAAGUCAGCGGUGAAAGUUUGUCGCUCAACGAUAAAAUUGCCGUUGAUACUGGUUUACUUGAGUAUAGUUGAAGUAGGCGGAAUGCGUGGUGUAGCGGUGAAAUGCUGAGAUAUCACGCAGAACUCCGAUUGCGAAGGCAGCUUACUAAGUUAUGACUGACACUGAAGCACGAAAGCGUUGGAAUCAAACAGGAUUAGAUAACCUGGUAGUCUUCGCAGUAAACGUUGAUUGCUAGCUGUUGGCGAUAUACAGUAAGUGGCUCAGCGAAAGUGUUAAGUAAUCCACCUGGGGACUAAGGCAGCAACGGUGAAACUCAAAUGAAUUGACGGGG